rnacentral:rRNA from 1 species
UACGGAGGGUGCGAGCGUUGUCCGGAAUCACUGGGCGUAAAGGGUGCGUAGGCGGUUGGUUAAGUUUGGGGUGAAAUCUCCCGGCUCAACUGGGAGGGUGCGCCGAAUACUGAAUGACUAGAGUGCGGGAGAGGAGAGUGGAAUUCCUGGUGUAGCGGUGAAAUGCGUAGAUAUCAGGAGGAACACCGGUGGUGUAGACGGCUCUCUGGACCGUAACUGACGCUGAGGCACGAAAGCGUGGGUAGCAAACAGG